rnacentral:rRNA from 1 species
CCGAAUGGGGAAACCCAGUGUGACUCGUCACACUAUCAUUAACUGAAUCCAUAGGUUAAUGAGGCGAACCGGGGGAACUGAAACAUCUAAGUACCCCGAGGAAAAGAAAUCAACCGAGAUUCCCCCAGUAGCGGCGAGCGAACGGGGAGGAGCCCAGAGCCUGAAUCAGCAUGUGUGUUAGUGGAAGCGUCUGGAAAGGCGCGCGAUACAGGGUGACAGCCCCGUACACAAAAGCGCAUGUGCUGUGAGCUCGAUGAGUAGGGCGGGACACGUGGUAUCCUGUCUGAAUAUGGGGGGACCAUCCUCCAAGGCUAAAUACUCCUGACUGACCGAUAGUGAACCAGUACCGUGAGGGAAAGGCGAAAAGAACCCCGGCGAGGGGAGUGAAAAAGAACCUGAAACCGUGUACGUACAAGCAGUGGGAGCACCCUUUGGGGUGUGACUGCGUACCUUUUGUAUAAUGGGUCAGCGACUUAUAUUCUGUAGCAAGGUUAACCGUAUAGGGGAGCCG